AUACGUAGGGGGCUAGCGUUAUCCGGAAUUACUGGGCGUAAAGGGUGCGUAGGUGGUUUUUUAAGUCAGAAGUGAAAGGCUACGGCUCAACCGUAGUAAGCUUUUGAAACUGAGAAACUUGAGUGCAGGAGAGGAGAGUAGAAUUCCUAGUGUAGCGGUGAAAUGCGUAGAUAUUAGGAGGAAUACCAGUUGCGAAGGCGGCUCUCUGGACUGUAACUGACACUGAGGCACGAAAGCGUGGGGAGCAAACAGGAUUAGAUACCCUGGUAGUCCACGCCGUAAACGAUGAGUACUAGCUGUCGGAGGUUACCCCCUUCGGUGGCGCAGCUAACGCAUUAAGUACUCCGCCUGGGAAGUACGCUCGCAAGAGUGAA
rnacentral:rRNA from 1 species